rnacentral:misc_RNA from 1 species
CUCCACCGCGCCGAGCAGCCAAACCUCCAGCGCCACCGCCACCAGUGCCACUGGCACUACCGGCAACCGGUAACACCUCUACUGCAUCAUCACUAUCAUCCGGAUUAUCCUUCUCCUUAUCUUCAAAAGGCGGCGAUGAAACGAACAGGUCCUUCAAUUUCCUCCUAACUCUCUUUUUCUCUGGAGGACCGUUCUGGAGCUCAGAUUGGUCAUUACGGCGGGGGAUUCGGCGGGGGGGGGGGGCAGGGGGGGGGGGGGGG